CAUACAUGUUAUAAACCACUGUACGUAUGGUUACUGUAUGUAACUUACUAAACAUACAUAACAUGACUUAACUUUGAUACUUUUUUGGUACAUUCCAGAAAACCAGGACCCCCUCCAUGAUGCAGGCUAUGGGGCCACAUAAAACUUUGUCCAGGGUUACUACAUAACAUAAAGAACCCCCUGAAUGAUGUAGGCUAUGGGGCCACAUAAGACUUUGUGCAUCCAGGGUUACAUAGCACGACAACUUUAAACUAAAGAACCCCCUGAAUGAUGUAGGCUAUGGGGCCACAUAAGACUUUGUGCAUCCAGGGUUACAUAGCAUGACAACUUUAAACUAAAAGUAAGGAAUUAAUUCACAUACAUUAACUUUUUUACUCUUGAUAUAACUCAAAGUAAGGAAUUAUAAACUAAAAGUAAGGAAUUAAUUAACAUACAUUAACUCUUUUACUCUUGAUAUCUAUAAUUUACAUAUUGCAUUCAGGACUUUGUGUAGUAUUUUGUACUAAUUGUGUUAUACUUUUACCUUCCAGAGCUACCAGACUGGGAUUUUAGUGUACUCCAGGAUCUACCAAAGGAUUACUACAUACAUACUACGUAGUGUACAGUGCAUAAUAUAGUGUUUAGUGUAUAAUCUAACCUAAGG